GAUUAUUUAGUUUAAAAAAAACAAAUGUUUUGAAAACAUUAAAUAAGAACUUUACUCUUAAUAAUUG
rnacentral:tRNA from 1 species